rnacentral:rRNA from 1 species
UACAGAGGUGGCAAGCGUUGUUCGGAAUUACUGGGCGUAAAGGGCGCGUAGGCGGCUUGGUCAGUCCCGUGUGAAAUCCCUCGGCUCAACUGAGGAACUGCACGGGAAACUGCCUGGCUUGAGUUCGGGAGAGGGAAGCGGAAUUCCGGGUGUAGCGGUGAAAUGCGCAGAUAUCAGGAAGAACACCUAUGGCGAAGGCAGCACUCUGGGACGGUACUGACGCUGAGACGCGAAAGCGUGGGGAGCGAACAGG